UGAGAUGAAAAUGAGUCCCUUACACAGAUGACAGAAAGGAGAAACCAGCCAGAUUUCAUUGAAUUCCUCAUGCCAGUGAAGGAGGAGGUUGACAUUCUCGCAGAUCAUCACUGAGUUUCCCAGGUAGAUACCUACUUAUACCAACAUCAUUUGUUGAAGAGACUAUUCUAUUUCCAUUGUAAGUUAUUAGUGCCCUUGUCAAAGAUUAGUUAACCAUAUAUACAUGAGUUUAUUUCUGGGCUUUUUAUUCUGUUUCAUUGGUCUAUAUGUCUGUUUUCAUGCCAGACUGUACUGUUUUGGUUACUAUAGCUUUGUAAUGUAAUUAGAAAUCAAGAAGUAUAAUUCCUCCAGCUUUGUUAUUUUUUAACAGAUGGCUUUAGGUAUUUGAGAUAUUUUGUGGAUCCAUAUAAAUUUCAUGGUUUUAAAAAAUUUCUAAUGAAAAAUGCCUUUGAAAUUUUAAUAGGGGUUGCAUUGGAUCUGUAGUUUGCUUUGUGUAGUACGGACAUUUUACCAAUAUUGACUCUUCC
rnacentral:lncRNA from 1 species